rnacentral:lncRNA from 1 species
UGGUGAUGUCAGGUACCGAGCCCUGCCCGCAUGCCCGGCUCUCUCCGCUGGAGAGUAAGCUGGGCCAGUGGCGAUGUAGUGGUGGCUGCGGACGGGCUUCAGCGGCAGGUGAAAGCGCGUAGCAGUCUCUGGAGCGUGGGCGUGAGAAAGGCAGUCUCUCAAAUGCCAUCAUCCAUGCCACUGCUAGAUAUGCUUACCAAGUAAACCUAUCUGGGAACUUCCUGUUCUUUUAAUUAAGCGUCCUCCCUGCCACGUGUUGUAAGGUGAGAUUCCCUCACAGAGGAGGAAGGCGGAGGCUGACAACUGCAGUUGGGGCUCACUGGUGACCCAGCUGUUCUGCAGAGAUCACGGAAAAGAGGCUGUAAGGCAUGAAAAGGCCCGUGCUGUCAGCUGCCAGAUACCCACGGAGGCUCCUCUGCAUGGCCUAAAACCCCAUGAAAGCAAGGUGCCUGUGAAGAAGAAAACAGAUCUGUAGCUCGGAAGAAGAGAACUCGUUCAAGUGGUGUUUUAUUUUUAAACUCUGAUCUUCCCAGUUGCUUGCCUGGCUAAGUAGUAGAACUGGAAUGGCCCAGGGAGCGGAAAUCAGGGGAACUUUCUUUAUUAUUUUAAAAUGAUAGACCCCAAAUUCUUUUUUAUAAAAGCCUGUUUCAUUACACCCAGGUCUGGAAGUCUCUUUGACUUGGUUUUCUGUAUUUCCCUGCUCCCUUUUAAAAGCAGCUAAGCACAAGUCCAACUUCUGGAGGAAGUGCUGGGUGGGGUCGCGCCAAAUGUUGGAAGAAGAUGUGUUAAGGCAUCAAGAACCAAAGAAGAGAAUCUGGUCAACUGUGUUUAUCUCUAGGUCUCCUUGAUCUGGGAAAAGGAGAACUAGAGCUGACUUGUAUCUGGAGUCGUCUCCCAUUUCUUUGCCGGCUUGGUGGUUGGUGUCUUCCAUUCCUGGAUUGUGCUGGAUGGGGGUCUCUGCUUGGGAACUAGCCUCUGCGGUUGAGGGCAGGAGCACAAGAACAAAGGAGGUGGCAUCUAGGUGCAGGAAGGGGCAUUGGUGUAAGCCUCUGGCAGGCCUUUUCUGGGACAGGGGACUGCUGUAUCCCCACCAAGGUGAGGGUCGG